rnacentral:rRNA from 1 species
CCUACGGGGGGCAGCAGUGGGGAAUAUUGGACAAUGGGGGCAACCCUGAUCCAGCCAUGCCGCGUGUGUGAAGAAGGCCCUCGGGUUGUAAAGCACUUUCAGUGAGGAAGAACGCCUGGUGGUUAAUACCCAUCAGGAAAGACAUCACUCACAGAAGAAGCACCGGCUAACUCCGUGCCAGCAGCCGCGGUAAUACGGAGGGUGCGAGCGUUAAUCGGAAUUACUGAGCGUAAAGCGCGCGUAGGUGGCUUGAUAAGCCGGUUGUGAAAGCCCCGGGCUCAACCUGGGAACGGCAUCCGGAACUGUCAAGCUAGAGUGCAGGAGAGGAAGGUAGAAUUCCCGGUGUAGCGGUGAAAUGCGUAGAGAUCGGGAGGAAUACCAGUGGCGAAGGCGGCCUUCUGGACUGACACUGACACUGAGGUGCGAAAGCGUGGGUAGCAAACAGGAUUAGAUACCCUGGUAGUC